rnacentral:lncRNA from 1 species
CCGUGCUUCCACUUUCUUUUCGAUGUUGGGACUUUCAAAUCGACGAUCGGCUCCGUUAGACUUGAUCUAGAGUAUUUGAAGUAUCUAGAAAAUAAAUUUUGCGAUUUUUCGAUAUCAUUUGCCUAGUGAUUGAAGUGGCUCAAAAUCAACGGCUGAAAAUAAAAAUCUCACAAAAUAUGAUGAUAUGACAUUAAAAUUUUAGAUCAAAGUUAUUGAUCUUGUUUUAUAUGGUAUAAAGAAUUUUCUAUCAAAAUUUCACGUGAUUUGGAUAUUUCUACACCGUUAAACUUGCAACCGGCUCACCACGGCCGUUAAAAUUAUUGAUUUUGAGCCCCUUCGAUCACUAGGCAAAUGAUAUCGAAAAAUCGCAAAAUUUAAUUUCUUGGUACUUUAAAUACUUUAGAUCAACUCUAACGGAGCCGAUCGUCGAUUCGAAAGUCCGAACAUCGAAAAUAAAGUGGAAGCACGGAGGCCUCCGUGCUUACGAAAGCAUACCAGCCCACUCUAUAUA